GGCUUCUGGAGGCAGUGAGAUCACAACAGCUCAACUUCCUUCUGUGGGCAAACAAGAAAGAGCUCUUCCUGUUGUGACCUUGCGUUUCUCUCCUGCC
ensembl:miRNA